CUUGAAGGCACAGUCAUAGGUGUCAAUCCUACCCAGUAUUCAAGCACCAGCUAAGUUUCAGUAGCUGGUCACAUGGAUGCAGCUGGCUCUUGGCCCUGAAGAGCUGACAUCCCUCAAGAAUUUGUGUGGAUAAGAAGAGUUCUCCAGUCUGGAAAUAUGAAGCUUUUGUUAGGUUGCUUCCUGAUGCUUCAAGUUUUAGAGUCUCCCACUGUGCUGCAAGCAAGCAUUACAAUUUCUUCUACAGCCACUUUUAAAUUCUGGGCAGCAGAUCUGCCAUCUGCAGUCCAUCUGCUGGGUCUAAUACCUAAGAAACAGACUUCAACCAUGAAGAGCUAACCCUCACAAAUUGUCAGUAAUGAAGAGUCCAUCAUAAUCACUUAACACGUCAAACACCUGUGUGAGCAAGACAAUGAGGGAAUGACUUUUGCAGGAGGAUGGAUAUAGGAUUAGAUGGAGCGUUACUUGGGGUCUGGAUGGGAAUGUUUGUUUAUAAUGAAAAGGGCAGUCAUUGUGGCACAUUUCCUUGCAGCAAAUAAUCAACCCUGCAAGUCAUAGAGAAACACAUCCUAUUUAGCAGCAGUUUUCCUAAAAAACUGAGGGUGAUACUUAAAACAUGGAGGUUUUUUUAUGGGCUUAUCCAUGACCAUGCCAUAAAUAUAUGCAGAAUCACACAGGUCCUACUUAGAUGAAUGUCCCCAGUUAUUUAUAACUUGAACUGGAGGGAUGGUGCAGCACAGCUGCUGUUGCACCAUCUAUCCCUGAUGACCAUCACACACUUAAAACAUUGUGGGAUUUUUUUAAAGUAACCUGCUGUGUCUACUCUGCAUAUUUUCCUUUGCUUUCACUGCUUGAGAGGGCACAUGGUCACAACACUUCAUUGCUCUGCCAGGGAGGGCUCCAUUAUUUUCAGGAUGCUGCAAAGAGAGGGAAUGAGCUGAGAUCAUGGGAUACAAUGUCUUUACUAUAAAUCCCAAAGACCAGUGUUAAGAGCUGCUGUACCUCCUGUUUCUGCCGCAGAAUUGGAAUCCUGUGUUAAUAAAACUAGAAGCAUGUUUAUUUAAGACCA
ensembl:lncRNA